UGCCCGGGAGGAGGGUCCGGCAGAGGGACCCAGGCUGGAGAGUUUGUUCGGGUCUGAGGUGUUGUGAGCCGGAAGCGCGAGGAAACCUAAGGCAGGGGCUGGCUGAGGCUGCAGCUCACUGCUGAUUUACCCCAGGACCCCGCUCCGGAGGGGUCGUAGCCAGUUUAGCACAAGUCCAUCAUCCGCUAGUCCCGAAAGCGCUGGGCAGUGGGGUCGGGGCAGUGAGAGGAAAUCCACCCAGCUGACGUCCUGCGGUUCUCCGGUUCCCAGGCGCUCGGCGGCGGGCGUGGCCCUCAGAGCAGGCCACCGGGCGUUGGGGGUCCAGGCUGACUCCCGGAGCGACCGGGAUCGCCGAGUCACGCCCCACGUGGCCUGGAGGCUUUUUCCUGGUCCUCCCAAUCCUUCAGCCAAAGGCUCUCAUUAUGUGGAGAAUGGAAGUCACUAUUUGGGGCAACUGACUGUCCCCAGGGCACGUCCCAGAAGGGAGCAAAUCCCUCCGAGGAGGCGCAGGGGAUUCACAGGCAGCCUCUAUGCGUACACCUCCAUUCAGGAUGUGCCAGGACGGCAGACCACAGGCAGCGCCAGAAACGGCUCGUGAUGCUGGCAGGACAAACAGGCGGGCACCUGGGCCUGGGGACACCGGAGGGACACUGGCCGUACACGCGUGCUGCAGAGUUGGUGACCAUGGGCAGUGCAGCCGCUGGGUUUGGCCUGUGAGGCCAUCCUCGAGGUUCUCUGGAGGCCAGCAAGGGGCUUUCACAGCUGAGAGGCCCCAGACGCAGCUGCAUCUUGGAGUUGUUCUGAAAAAUCUGGGACCUGCCCCACCUCCACCCAGGCAGGGGGCACCAGCCAGCUCCAGAGCUGCCCACCUUCCCUCACAGGCGCACAGGUCAGCGCCAGGCCAACCCCAGAGCGAUAACACCUGUGUGGACUGUGCUUGAGCAGCGAGGUGGCCUGCACAGGGGCAGCAAGGGAGGUGUCGGACGGAGCCACCCCACGGUUCCCCUGUGAAAGUCUGCACGUCACUCAGAAAGUUGAAGUAAACGAAGCAGGGCUGGAGCCCACAGUUCACAGCUGGCCAGGCUGCACAGGGGAUGCGCCAAGGACAGUUUCCUACGACAAGUGGAAAUCUGUGUGCUGCAGGCGAGCUGGGUCCUGGAAAGUGCAGGGACCAGCCAGCAUCUCGGGACAUCAAGGGCUGUCUCCACCAGCAGAUUUCCCAUAAAACGUGCUGAACUGGGGACAAAGCUGAUUCUACAGAGCUGAGAAUCCAGACCUUCCCUGGGGACUCCCAAGGGGGCCCUGGCCACCCUCUCCACCUGCAGAGGUUUCCUGGCCCAACAGCUCCUCCUCCGAGGGCCCCCUUCCAGCUCUCGGCCCAUGGGGGAGCCCGUUCCUCAGCUCUGGGCUUGGCCGACAGGAGACCUAGGGCUCCCCGCACCCAGCUGGGCUCAGUGUUUUCUUUUUUCUUUUUUUUUUUUUUGAGACGGAGUCUCGCUCUGUCGCCCAGGCGGGAGUGCAGUGGCCGAAUCUCAGCUCACUGCAAGCUCCGCCCCCCGGG